CUUGCCCUACGGGAGGCAGCAAUCGAGAAUCAUUCACAAUGGGGGAAACCCUGAUGGUGCGACGCCGCGUGGUGGAAUGAAGGUCUUCGGAUUGUAAACCCCUGUCAUGUGGGAGCAAAUUAAAAAGAUAGUACCACAAGAGGAAGAGACGGCUAACUCUGUGCCAGCAGCCGCGGUAAUACAAAGGUCUCAAGCGUUGUUCGGAAUCACUGGGCGUAAAGCGCGCGUAGGCUGUUUCGUAAGUCGUGUGUGAAAG
rnacentral:rRNA from 1 species